UACGUAGGGCGCAAGCGUUAUCCGGAAUUAUUGGGCGUAAAGAGCUUGUAGGCGGUUUGUCGCGUCUGCUGUGAAAUCUCAAGGCUCAACCUUGAGCUUGCAGUGGGUACGGGCAGACUAGAGUGUGGUAGGGGAGACUGGAAUUCCUGGUGUAGCGGUGAAAUGCGCAGAUAUCAGGAGGAACACCGGUGGCGAAGGCGGGUCUCUGGGC
rnacentral:rRNA from 1 species